GAUGAACGCUGGCGGCGUGCCUAAUACAUGCAAGUCGAGCGAACAGACGAGGAGCUUGCUCCUCUGACGUUAGCGGCGGACGGGUGAGUAACACGUGGAUAACCUACCUAUAAGACUGGGAUAACUUCGGGAAACCGGAGCUAAUACCGGAUAACAUGUUGAACCGCAUGGUUCAACAGUGAAAGACGGUCUUGCUGUCACUUAUAGAUGGAUCCGCGCCGCAUUAGCUAGUUGGUAAGGUAACAGCUUACCAAGGCAACGAUGCGCAGCCGACCUGAGAGGGUGAUCGGCCACACUGGAACUGUAGCACGGUCCAGACUCCUACGGGAGGCGACAGUAGGGAAUCUUCCGCAAUGGGCGAAAGCCUGACGGAGCAACGCCGCGUGAGUGAAGAAGGUCUUCGGAUCGUAAAACUCUGUUAUUAGGGAAGAACAAAUGUGUAAGUAACUAUGCACGUCUUGACGGUACCUAAUCAGAAAGCCACGGCUAACUACGUG
rnacentral:rRNA from 1 species